rnacentral:rRNA from 1 species
GAGUUUGAUCGUGGCUCAGAUUGAACGCUGGCGGCAGGCCUAACACAUGCAAGUCGAGCGGUAGAGAGAAGCUUGCUUCUCUUGAGAGCGGCGGACGGGUGAGUAAUGCCUAGGAAUCUGCCUGGUAGUGGGGGAUAACGCUCGGAAACGGACGCUAAUACCGCAUACGUCCUACGGGAGAAAGCAGGGGACCUUCGGGCCUUGCGCUAUCAGAUGAGCCUAGGUCGGAUUAGCUAGUUGGUGAGGUAAUGGCUCACCAAGGCGACGAUCCGUAACUGGUCUGAGAGGAUGAUCAGUCACACUGGAACUGAGACACGGUCCAGGACUCCUACGGGAGGCGAGCAGUGGGGAAUAUUGGACAAUGGGCGAAAGCCUGAUCCAGCCAUGCCGCGUGUGUGAAGAAGGUCUUCGGAUUGUAAAGCACUUUAAGUUGGGAGGAAGGGCAGUAAAUUAAUACUUUGCUGUUUUGACGUUACCGACAGAAUAAGCACCGGCUAACUCUGUGCCAGCCGCCG